GCUAAGUUGCUGAGGCUGGUCUCAAACUUGGAAUCCUCCUGCCUCAGCUCCCAAGGUACUACAGACCCGCAAGAUGGAGACAGAAUCGGGAUUGAUGGGAUUCAGCAAUUCUGUGACGAUCUAAGGCUGGACCCCACCAGCAUCAGUGUUCUGGUCAUAGCAUGGAAGUUCAGGGCUGCCACUCAGUGCGAAUUCAGCAGGAAGGAGUUCAUGGACGGCAUGACCGAGCUGGGGUGUGACAGCACCGAGAAGCUCAGAACCCUUCUGCCCAGCCUAGAGCAAGAGCUGCAGGACUCCGUGAAGUUCAAGGAU
rnacentral:lncRNA from 1 species